AGGUUAAGCUGAAGAGGCGGAGCCGCAGCGAAAGCGAGUCUGAAUAGGGCGUUUAGUACGUGGUCGUAGACCCGAAACCAGGUGAUCUACCCAUGUCCAGGGUGAAGUUCAGGUAACACUGAAUGGAGGCCCGAACCCACGCACGUUGAAAAGUGCGGGGAUGAGGUGUGGGUAGCGGAGAAAUUCCAAUCGAACCUGGAGAUAGCUGGUUCUCCCCGAAAUAGCUUUAGGGCUAGCCUUAAGUGUAAGAGUCUUGGAGGUAGAGCACUGAUUGAACUAGGGGUCCUCAUCGGAUUACCGAAUUCAGUCAAACUCCGAAUGCCAAUGACUUAUCCUUAGGAGUCAGACUGCGAGUGAUAAGAUCCGUAGUCAAGAGGGAAACAGCCCAGAUCGCCAGCUAAGGUCCCAAAGUGUGUAUUAAGUGGAAAAGGAUGUGGAGUUGCUUAGACAACUAGGAUGUUGGCUCAGAAGCAGCCACCAUUUAAAGAGUGCGUAAUAGCUCACUAGUCGAGUGACUCUGCGCCGAAAAUGUACCGGGGCUAAAUACACCACCGAAGCUGCGAAUUGAUACCAAUGGUAUCAGUGGUAGGGGAGCGUUCUAAGUGCAGUGAAGUCAGACCGGAAGGACUGGUGGAGCGCUUAGAAGUGAGAAUGCCGGUAUGAGUAGCGAAAGACGGGUGAGAAUCCCGUCCACCGAAUGCCUAAGGUUUCCUGAGGAAGGCUCGUCCGCUCAGGGUUAGUCAGGACCUAAGCCGAGGCCGACAGGCGUAGGCGAUGGACAACAGGUUGAUAUUCCUGUACCACCUCUUUAUCGUUUGAGCAAUGGAGGGACGCAGAAGGAUAGAAGAAGCGUGCGAUUGGUUGUGCACGUCCAAGCAGUUAGGCUGAUAAGUAGGCAAAUCCGCUUAUCGUGAAGGCUGAGCUGUGAUGGGGAAGCUCCUUAUGGAGCGAAGUCUUUGAUUCCCCGCUGCCAAGAAAAGCUUCUAGCGAGAUAAAAGGUGCCUGUACCGCAAACCGACACAGGUAGGCGAGGAGAGAAUCCUAAGGUGUGCGAGAGAACUCUGGUUAAGGAACUCGGCAAAAUGACCCCGUAACUUCGGGAGAAGGGGUGCUUUCUUAACGGAAAGCCGCAGUGAAUAGGCCCAAGCGACUGUUUAGCAAAAACACAGGUCUCUGCGAAGCCGUAAGGCGAAGUAUAGGGGCUGACACCUGCCCGGUGCUGGAAGGUUAAGGAGAGGGGUUAGCGUAAGCGAAGCUCUGAACUGAAGCCCCAGUAAACGGCGGCCGUAACUAUAACGGUCCUAAGGUAGCGAAAUUCCUUGUCGGGUAAGUUCCGACCCGCACGAAAGGUGUAACGAUUUGGGCACUGUCUCAACCAGAGACUCGGUGAAAUUAUAGUACCUGUGAAGAUGCAGGUUACCCGCGACAGGACGGAAAGACCCCGUGGAGCUUUACUGUAGCCUGAUAUUGAAUUUUGGUACAGUUUGUACAGGAUAGGCGGGAGCCAUUGAAACCGGAGCGCUAGCUUCGGUGGAGGCGCUGGUGGGAUACCGCCCUGACUGUAUUGAAAUUCUAACCUACGGGUCUUAUCGACCCGGGAGACAGUGUCAGGUGGGCAGUUUGACUGGGGCGGUCGCCUCCUAAAGUGUAACGGAGGCGCCCAAAGGUUCCCUCAGAAUGGUUGGAAAUCAUUCGUAGAGUGCAAAGGCAUAAGGGAGCUUGACUGCGAGACCUACAAGUCGAGCAGGGACGAAAGUCGGGCUUAGUGAUCCGGUGGUUCCGCAUGGAAGGGCCAUCGCUCAACGGAUAAAAGCUACCCCGGGGAUAACAGGCUUAUCUCCCCCAAGAGUCCACAUCGACGGGGAGGUUUGGCACCUCGAUGUCGGCUCAUCGCAUCCUGGGGCUGUAGUCGGUCCCAAGGGUUGGGCUGUUCGCCCAUUAAAGCGGUACGCGAGCUGGGUUCAGAACGUCGUGAGACAGUUCGGUCCCUAUCCGUCGUGGGCGCAGGAAAUUUGAGAGGAGCUGUCCUUAGUACGAGAGGACCGGGAUGGACGCACCGCUGGUGUACCAGUUGUUCUGCCAAGGGCAUAGCUGGGUAGCUAUGUGCGGAAGGGAUAAGUGCUGAAAGCAUCUAAGCAUGAAGCCCCCCUCAAGAUGAGAUUUCCCAUAGCGUAAGCUAGUAAGAUCCCUGAAAGAUGAUCAGGUUGAUAGGUUCGAGGUGGAAGCAUGGUGACAUGUGGAGCUGACGAAUACUAAUAGAUCGAGGACUUAACCAU
rnacentral:rRNA from 1 species